CAUGGGCCAAAUAUACCAGAUGAUAGUGAAAUUUCCACUUUAAUUUGCAUGCCUAAGUAUAGUCUUGCACAUUAGAAAUGGGAACAAAAUGGAAUGUAACCAAUAAAAUGUGCUUUGGAGGUUUGUGUGCAUGAACUUGAAAUAUGAAGCCAAAAUCACAGAAGAACAUGCUAUGCACAUAGCAAGCUCUGCAAAAUCAGAUCUUCUUCAACUUUCUCUCUCGAC